rnacentral:rRNA from 1 species
ACCAGCAGCCAUAUCACCCUGCAGCUCUCAACUGGCUACCCACUGAAGCUAAGCAGGGUUGAGCUUGUUCAGUACCUGGAUGGGAGACCUCCUGAGAAGCUAUGGUUGCAGCUGGAA